AACCCCUGUGACAUACCUAUACGUUGCCUCGGCGGAUCAGCCCGCGCCCCGUAAAAAGGGACGGCCCGCCCGAGGACCCCUAAACUCUGUUUUUAGUGGAACUUCUGAGUAAAACAAACAAAUAAAUCAAAACUUUCAACAACGGAUCUCUUGGUUCUGGCAUCGAUGAAGAACGCAGCAAAAUGCGAUAAGUAAUGUGAAUUGCAGAAUUCAGUGAAUCAUCGAAUCUUUGAACGCACAUUGCGCCCGCCAGUAUUCUGGCGGGCAUGCCUGUUCGAGCGUCAUUUCAACCCUCAAGCUCAGCUUGGUGUUGGGACUCGCGGUAACCCGCGUUCCCCAAAUCGAUUGGCGGUCACGUCGAGCUUCCAUAGCGUAGUAAUCAUACACCUCGUUACUGGUAAUCGUCGCGGCCACGCCGUAAAACCCCAACUUCUGAAUGUUGACCUCGGAUCAGGUAGGAAUACCCGCUGAACUUAAGCAUAUC
rnacentral:rRNA from 4 species